rnacentral:lncRNA from 1 species
GGGAAAUGCCAGAAUUCUGAGACGCAGAGGAUGGUCUGGGCUGCUCUUUCCAAAGGCUGUUUUUCAGCCUGCUGUGAAUUGGGCGAGGGAAAUCAGGCAGCUGUCCUUCCCUGUGCCCUGGGGUCAGCACCCUGCCCCUUCCUCUUCAGCACCUGCCACCGUCUGAGCCCUGGGGCCAGGUUGUCUCAUUGGGUUGGUAACCAAAGGAUGAGUUGGCUGAUGAGUUGGCUCCCAGGCCACCACAAAGGCCUGUGUUUUUGCUGUGUGUCCCCAGACUCAUUCCUUUACAUCUCUGGGCCUUUCUGGGAGCAAGGUCCUCCCUCUAAGAUUCCUGGUACAUUCCUCAGGCACCUCCCUAAGCCAACAGAGCUCAGGUAUUCCCCUGAGCUGGGAGCAGGCCAGGGGUACUCCAGCUGGGGCGUCAUUUCUGAGGCUCCAACACUUCUAGCAACAAGGCUCCCCCACUUGAGUCUUGUGGAUGUCAGCUCAGGGAUCUCCUGUGUUCAGGGUCACCACAGGACAUGCGUAAGAGGUGCCUGGGAAGCCCCAGAAAUCCUGACCGAAGAACAUUUAGCAACCUGCAAAGAAAACAGACCAUACACAGCAGCCCCGGUGCUGUCACCCACGCGCUGGCAUGGACAAGAGAUGGGUAAUGCCAGGCUUUCAGUGGCUUUAUCGAUUCUGGAUCUGCGUCUCACUGAAGCACACCUCUUGUGUGUGACUGUGUGUCUGCAUGUUCUCUGUGUGCUUUUGUGUCUGUCUCUGUGUGUCCGUGACUACAUGUUUCUCAACGGCACCCUGACUCAAAACUAAAGGGAACAUGAGAAAAGGGAACUGCGGACCAACGUCCUUUCUGAAUAGGCGCAAAUCAGUCCUCAGCAAACCACGGUAUCAACAAACAGAACCAAUAACUUAUCACAGGAACAAACAUAAUGGUGAGGAGGAAUUACCUCAGGAACACAAGCUAAUUUAACAGUUGAAAGACCCAAUCAAUGUGAUUCAUGAUAUUAAUAGCAUAAUGUAGGGAAAAAUCACAUGCUAAUUUUAAUAGAUGUAGAAGCCAUACAGUGGAAUUCAAUAGAUGCAGAAAACACAUUUAACAAAAUUCAACUGUCUUGACUUAAAAAAAAAAUUUUUUUUAAUUUUAAAAACUCUCAGCAAUCUGUGAUGAAAGACAUCUACUAAAAACCCACAGCAACAUAAUACUCUGUUAAAAGGCUCCAUACUUUCUACCUAAGAACACAAAUAAAGAUUGUUGGGCUGGGGUGUGGUUCAGUGGUCAGUAUAUGCAAAACAAAACAAAAUCCCCAAGAAACCAGGUAUCCUGGAGAUCCUAACCAGUAUAAUAAUUCAAGAAAGGAAAAGGAUGGGAAAGGAAGAGGAGGGGAGCGAGGAAGAGGGGAAGGAAGGAAGAAAAGAAGAAAAAAAGGGAGGGGGCCAAGGAGGGAAGGAAGGAAGGUAUUUCCAGAUAACAUGAUCAUGCAUGUCAAAAACUGAAAAGCAUCUACUUAAAUGAAAACAAAAUGCCAAGCAGAAUAAGAAAAAUGUAUCAAGGCUGCAGGAUACAAGGAAAAUAUACAAAACAAGCUGAGAUGAAUUAGACAGAAGAGCAGCAGGAAACACAGAAGGUCCAGACAUCAUUGUAAAGUAAUUCAACCUAACAUCUGCAAAACACUCCACUCAACCAUAGAAGAAAGCAUUCUUCCUAUAGAGCACACGGAACUUUCUCCAGAAUGGGCCAAAUGUAAUGCCAGAAAACAAGUCUCAAUAAAUUUUAUAAAAAAUCAUAUAAAAUGGAUUUCCACAUACAAAAGAAUGAAAUUG